UACAGAGGGGGCAAGCGUUAUUCGGAAUUAUUGGGCGUAAAGGGCGCGUAGGCGGCUUUUCAAGUGACGGGUGAAAUCCCUCGGCUUAACCGAGGAACUGCCUGUCAGACUGGAAGGCUUGAGACCGGGAGAGGGAUGCAGAAUUCCCAGUGUAGCGGUGAAAUGCGUAGAUAUUGGGAGGAACACCAGUGGCGAAGGCGGCUCACUGGACCGGAACUGACGCUGAGGCGCGAAAGCCAGGGGAGCAAACGGG
rnacentral:rRNA from 1 species